GAAUCUUUGGAGCUGCAUUUUUUUCAUUUCAGCCUGAACAAGGGAUGUCACGUUGACCUUGCGUGCAUUUCGUAUCUGAAGAAAUUUUCUAAUUUAGAAGCACAAAAGAGGAUGAAAGCGGCAGUGUUACUACCCGAGUCACAUGUUGGAAAAAAAAAGUGCUUAUGUUAAAUUAUAGGCUGCUGAAGCUGGGACCAAAGAUAACAUUAUUAGAGUUUUGCAAUAAGUAUGAUUAAUGGGACAACAGGGGUGUCAUUUGGGCCCCCUCUUGUGUAUAUACCUUAUUUAUUUUCAUGGUUAGGGUUUCUUCAUUCAAACCAAAUGUAUACGUGCAUUUUCUUUGAACCUCCCUCUUUCUCCCUGUAUUUCAACACUGAAAAUGUAUUGUCUAAAAGGUUUGUGUUUUCUAAUAUUAUCUAAGUCCACUCCGGCAGCAUUUUUGGAAAAGGAGGAACCUCCCCUCCUGUAUUCCCCUUUUCUCUGAUUAAGGUCUUUAAGGUUGAGGUGAAUGUAGGUUAUUCUUCAUAAUAGAAAAUAUCACCAGAGAUAGGAGAAGAAAAAUAGUUAAAGAGCACAGUCACUACAUACCAGUAGGACCUGAAAUGCUAAGAGUUUUUGUCUGUACUUAUGUCUCUGAUCAAGAAGUUUAUCACUGUAUCAAGAAGUAAGUUAUAAUAGCAAAAAGGAGGACUUGAUCCAUCUGAAAUGUGAAAUAUUAAUGUUGUUUCCUUACAGGUCUGGGAAACUCUUACAUAUUAGCAAGCUUAGUAUUUCAUAACACAUAAGAAUAUUUAACAAACGGGGAAAAACACAUAAAGUACUCUUCCUGUGAGUGGAGGAAAAAAAAAAAAGACCUUUUGUGCCUGUGACUACCAAAUGUUUUCUGUUAAUAACUGUGUGUACAGAGGAUAGUCGAUUGUGACCCAAGUUCUAACACGAAUGAUGUGACCCUGACGUUCUCCCCUGUUUCCAACAUCUCUCUUGCUUGUUGUGACCGCUGCAUUUGGGA